rnacentral:rRNA from 1 species
GUGGGGAAUUGUUCGCAAUGGGCGCAAGCCUGACGACGCAACGCCGCGUGGAGGAUGAAGACCUUCGGGUCGUAAACUCCUUUCGAUCGAGACGAAUGGCUCCCGGGUGAACAAUCCGGGAGAGUGACGGUACCGAGAGAAGAAGCCCCGGCUAACUCCGUGCCAGCAGCCGCGGUAAUACGGGGGGGGCAAGCGUUGUUCGGAAUUACUGGGCGUAAAGGGCUCGUAGGCGGCCAACUAAGUCAAACGUGAAAUCCCUCGGCUUAACCGGGGAACUGCGCUUGAUACUGGAUGGCUUGAGAUUGGGAGAGGGAUGCGGAAUUCCAGGUGUAGCGGUGAAAUGCGUAGAUAUCUGGAGGAACACCGGUGGCGAAGGCGGCAUCCUGGACCAACACUGACGCUGAAUAGCGAAAGCCAGGGGAGCAAACGGGAUUAGAUACCCUUGUAGUCC